rnacentral:lncRNA from 1 species
CCCUGAUAUGGUUUGGAUCAAGAAUGUCCCCAGCAUCUCUUGGUCCCUCACUCAGCUAUGUUCAGAGGGAGCACUUUUAGGAAAUGAUUGGAUCAUGAGGGCUCUGACCUCAUCGAUGGAUUAAUUCAUUGAUAGCUGCAUGCACUGCUGGGAGUGGUAGAAAUUAUAGGCAGUCAGCACAGUUAGAGGAAGUGGAUCAGUGGGGAUUUGUCCCGGAGGGAGACUUCUUGUGCUGGCCCCUCCCCUCCUUCCCACGUACUCUUUCUCUUUUUAUGCGUCCCUGUUGCAAUGAUCUGAGAAGUUGUCCUCUACUGUGCCCUUUCACCCUGAUGUUCUGCCUCUCCUCAGGCCCAAAGCAACGGAGCCAGCCAACCACACUGUCUGGGAACUUACAGGUUCUUUGGAAUGACUGCCGUGACUUGAAAUUUCACAUGAUGUAUUUUGGUGUGAAUCUCGGUGGUCACCUCAAGUUACUCAUGUCCUUAAGUUUUAAGGAUUAUCUUGAAUCAUUUCAUUGAUGAUUUCUGAUUUCCUUACUUUACUGUCUCUAAUUUCUUAAAAUUUAAGUGUCAGACCUCUUGGUUCUCUAAUUUUACUAUCUUCAUUUUCUGCUUCUCAUUUUUUGGUGUUUCUUACCAUUCUGGAAGAUUUCCUCAAAUUGACCCUCCAUCUAUUUUAUUGAGACAGUUAUUUUUGUCAUAAUAUUUGGAUUUCCAAGGUUUCUUUUUUGAUGUUUGAAUGAUUCUUAAAAAACCCCGGGGGCUGGGAUUAUGGCUCAGUGGCAGAGCACUUGCCUGGCAUGUGUGAUGCACUGGGUUCCAUCCAUAGCACCACAUAAAAAUGAAAUAAAGGUAUUGUGUGUUCACCUACAACUAAAAAAUAAAUAUUAAAAAAACACGCUGUGUUAUGUAGG